UACGGAGGGGGCUAGCGUUGUUCGGAAUUACUGGGCGUAAAGCGCACGUAGGCGGCUUUGUAAGUUAGAGGUGAAAGCCUGGAGCUCAACUCCAGAAUUGCCUUUAAGACUGCAUCGCUUGAAUCCGAGAGAGGUGAGUGGAAUUCCGAGUGUAGAGGUGAAAUUCGUAGAUAUUCGCAAGAACACCAGUGGCGAAGGCGGCUCACUGGCCCGGUACUGACGCUGAGGUGCGAAAGCGUGGGGAGCAAACAGG
rnacentral:rRNA from 1 species